rnacentral:rRNA from 1 species
UUGUCUCAAAGAUUAAGCCAUGCAUGUCUCAGUACAAGCCGAUUUAAGGUGAAACCGCGAAAGGCUCAUUAAAUCAGUUAUGGUUCCUUAGAUCGUACCCACACUUACUUGGAUAACUGUGGUAAUUCUAGAGCUAAUACAUGCCGACAGAAUCCCGACCGGAGACGGAAGGGAUGCUUUUAUUAGAUCAAAACCAAUCGGCCGCGGGCGCGCUCGCGCGUCCGCCGGCCGCUCCGACUGGUGACUCUGAAUAACUUUCCGCCGAUCGCACGGUCCAGCACCGGCGACGCAUCUUUCAAAUGUCUGCCUUAUCAACUGUCGAUGGUAGGUUCUGCGCCUACCAUGGUCGUAACGGGUAACGGGGAAUCAGGGUUCGAUUCCGGAGAGGGAGCCUGAGAAACGGCUACCACAUCCAAGGAAGGCAGCAGGCGCGCAAAUUACCCACUCCCGGCACGGGGAGGUAGUGACGAAAAAUAACGAUACGGGACUCAUCCGAGGCCCCGUAAUCGGAAUGAGUACACUUUAAAUCCUUUAACAAGGACCAAUUGGAGGGUAAGUCUGGUGCCAGCAGCCGCGGUAAUUCCAGCUCCAAUAGCGUA